UGGGGAAUUUUGGACAAUGGGCGAAAGCCUGAUCCAGCCAUGCCGCGUGAAGGAUGACGGCCCUCUGGGUUGUAAACUUCUUUUAUCUGGGACGAAAAAAGAUCAUUCCUGAUCACUUGACGGUACCAGAGGAAUAAGCACCGGCUAACUCCGUGCCAGCAGCCGCGGUAAUACGGAGGAUCCAAGCGUUAUCCGGAAUCAUUGGGUUUAAAGGGUCCGUAGGCGGGUCUGUAAGUCAGUGGUGAAAUCUCCCCGCUCAACGGGGAAACUGCCAUUGAUACUGCAGGUCUUGAAUUAUUGGGAAGUAACUAGAAUAUGUAGUGUAGCGGUGAAAUGCUUAGAGAUUACAUGGAAUACCGAUUGCGAAGGCAGCUGGCUAUGCGAUUAUUGACACUGAGGCACGAAAGCGUGGGUAGCAAACA
rnacentral:rRNA from 1 species